UAGGUUGUGGUGUAAUAGGUAGCACAGAGAAUUUUGGAUUCUCAUGGGUAGGCUCAAUUCCUAUAGUUCUAG
rfam:Pan troglodytes isolate Yerkes chimp pedigree #C0471 (Clint) chromosome Y, whole genome shotgun sequence.